rnacentral:rRNA from 1 species
UCCUGGCUCAGGAUGAACGCUAGCGACAGGCUUAACACAUGCAAGUCGAGGGGCAGCACGGGAGUAGCAAUACUUGGUGGCGACCGGCGCACGGGUGAGUAACGCGUAUGCAACCUACCUAUCAGAGGGAAUAACCCGGCGAAAGUCGGACUAAUACCGCAUAAAACAGGGGCACCGCAUGGUGAUAUUUGUUAAAGAAAUUCGCUGAUAGAUGGGCAUGCGUUCCAUUAGGUAGUUGGUGAGGUAACGGCUCACCAAGCCGACGAUGGAUAGGGGAACUGAGAGGUUGGUCCCCCACACUGGUACUGAGACACGGACCAGACUCCUACGGGAGGCAGCAGUGAGGAAUAUUGGUCAAUGGGCGGGAGCCUGAACCAGCCAAGUCGCGUGAAGGAAGAAGGAUCUAUGGUUCGUAAACUUCUUUUGCAGGGGAAUAAAGUGCAGGACGUGUCCUGUUUUGUAUGUACCCUGAGAAUAAGGAUCGGCUAACUCCGUGCCAGCAGCCGC